rnacentral:ncRNA from 1 species
UGGUACUCCUGCCCAGCCACAGUCACAAGCAAUGGGGGCAGCUCGGAGAGAUCCUCGGAGGGGUGCGAUUCCCGUGA